UCUUCUUCAGUAACAACCUGAAGCUGCACUAAAAGAAGAUUUAAACUUAAAGUUUUUAGCUUGUGCCUUUCAGGAAGCAGCUGCAGAGCCGGAGUAUCCACCGUCCCACUGAGCAUCCAGAGCAUCACAACGCAAAGAAAAAUACAAGAUGGCUGCUCGUAGAUUUGAAUACCCUGAAAGAUGUACUAGUGAUGCAAAAAAGAAAGAGUCCCGAGAAAAAACACUGCAUGUCAACAAAGACACUCUCUUUUAUGAUGAAACGGAUGAAGAGAUAGAAACCAACCUGGUUUUCUACAGCACAAAUGUAAGAGAAUGGCUGGAUGAAAUGAAAGAACAGUAUCCUGAACUUCAGGAAACUCAACAAGAUGGUCUAAUCAAACUCAAGCAUUCCGAGGGAGGAACCAUAAGUUUUUAUUCUUCUGUAAAAGUUCUGGUACAUGGCAAAACUCUAAUGGAGAAGUUUAAGGGAGAUUUUUCACAGAUGAGAGGAAAUGUCAUUGAACACAACUUAUCAGCAGCAACAGCAGGAAUAAACAUAAACGAAGCCAGAGGGCGCUCCCCAACUCAGCCCAUCCCAACUGAUCAGAUAAAAAAAAAGGAUAAAAAAAAUAGUUGUAUAGUAUGAUGAAAAAAGUCAUGGUAUAGUUUGUAGAAAAAAAGUAAUUAAAAAGUCAUAGAAUAGUAUUUGAAAAAAGCAAAAAAAAGUUAUAGUAUAUAAAAAAAAAAUCAUAGUAUAUAAAAAAAAAUCAUAGUAUAUAAAAAAAUAAUCAUACUAUAUUAUGUCAUAUAGUUCGUAAGAAUAGUCAUAAUGUAGCAUAUCAUAAAAAUGUCAUAAAAUACUUUUUAAACAAAUUCCAGAAUAAAGUUUGUCACAAAAAAGGUCAGAUAAAUAGUCAUAAAACAGUCAUAGUAUUGUAUGUUGAUAAAUGUAAUUGUAUAGUAUGUGAUAACACUAUAAUAAAAAGUAAUUAUACCUAAUAAUAAUAACAAUAUAAUAAUAAUAAUAAUAAUAAGUCAUUAGUAUGUCAUUCGAAUGUUGUAAAGAAGUCAAACUAUAGUAUGCCAUAAAUAUGUCACAAACAUGUAUUAUAAAGAUUCAAAAGUCAUAGUAUAGCAUGUGAUAAACAUGUCAUUAAAUGGUCAUAGUAUGCAUGUCAUGACUAGGUCAUAAAAAAGUCAUAGUAUAGUUUAAUAAAAGUCAUAAAAAUGUUAAAAAUAGUCACAGUAGACUGAUAAAAUGUAUGUCAUAGCAAAUGUCAUCAAAAAUAAAGAGAUAAAGAGAGAGUUUUUAUGAACAUUUUAUUGGUUUCCAAAAAUGAAUAAAAUAAAAAAUAAAAAGGUAAUCUCCUCGAAAAUAAUUUCAAUGUCGAAGAACUGGACGAUUAAAACUGAGGAAGGUUCUACCACGGGACGGGCGGUCACAGUGACACCUCGCAGUGACUCUUCUUGGCCAGCGGGGGAGUCGGGGGGGGAGAAGCAGCUUUUAAUAUACGAGUGAAAGGAAAAGCAGGUAAAGAGGGAAGAGGAGAACCUAGAAUCUAAAAGAAUCUUUACUCUUGGCAACUUCACUACUAACCACUGCUCCUGAAGAGUGGGACGACAAACUCAAGAUUAAUAAAAUCACUACUCUCUUUUAUUCACAUGAAGAUAAAUCCCUUUUAAUUAAAGUUAAAUUUAAUUGGCCUCUCCCUUUUAGAGCAGACCUUUCUUCUGAAAUAAGGCAUCUGUAGUGCUGUCUAACUGAAAUAAACGCUGCCAACAUGAACGUUUAAAUGAGGGCUGUGGGAGAGACAGGAUGUUACUCUCUCUCUGAUAUUUAUCGAUAGAACCUCAGGCAAAACAGGGAAACAUUUAAACAGAAAUGCGGAUACAGUAUAAUCACAGGAUAAAUACCAGGCUAGCCAAUGUUUCGCUGUGUGUGUGUGUGUGUGUGUGUGUGUGUGUGUGUGUGUGUGUGUGUGUCGGUAAACAGUGAUAUGUUCUGAAGGCUGUUUAGAGGGCAGAAGAGGCAG